GGAAAUUUUGACCGUCAAUCACCCUGACACCCCACAUCCUCUCCUCUCCUCUCCCGACGCGCCGCCGCAGCCGCCGCCGCCCCCAUCUCCGACUCCGAUGCGCAGCCACCGCCCCUCGCCUUCCUCCAUCUCCAUCUCACCCACCGCCACCCCCUUCUCUCCCUCGGCUGUCGAGCUUCCGGAUGGACCCGGUGAGUAGGCCGGCGGCACUCCCCGAUCUGCUCGUCCUGCCGGCCGCGGCGAAGUGAGGAUCCAGGAUCCGCGCUCGGGGCGGCCUCGACGCAGGUGCUCGGUGUGCCCGGCCGCCCAAGACUCCGCCUUCCUCACGCUAGUGCGUCUGGAGAGGAGGAGGGGGCGGCACGCACAGCCGUGCCCUGCCGUCGGCGACGACGGCGCGGCCGUGCCCUCCGACGCCGCUCUUCUGCGCGCGUGAGGACACCAACUCCGCUCUCGACGACGACCGCACCAUGGAAUGGAGCCCUUCAAGGAAGACUUUGGGUUGCUUGUAACCCGCCAUGUCACAGAUAGGGUGCCUGUUAGAAAUCUUCUAUGGGGGUAACCAACAAGCGACAAAUAUUCAGUCUUGAGGGCGCAAGUACUGAAGCUAUGAUCCAGCUGUUGAGAAUAACUGAUAAUCAUGGUGUCUUAUGUGUAACUAUUUUCUUCAGAAAUCACCAAGUACUUACUGCAAAGGUUUUCGUGUCACCGACAACUCUGCUUCACUAGUAGAUUGGGGAAGGCGGCCGCUGCCCUCGUCUCCGCAUUGCCACGUCCUACUCCUCUGCUCCACAACGUACAUGGCUAAAGUAAGUCAGGGUUGCACGUGCAGGUACAACUCGUCGACGUCAAGGAGAAUGAUGCCUUAGACCAGUCUGAGAAGCCAUCGCCGUCCUCGGGUGCUGCCGCCAACGGAUACGGGCGCUUGGUGACUGAAGAGGUUGUUAGAGUUUUUCAUGUCAUCGACAACUCUGCGUCACUAGUAGAUUGGGGUGUUCGGCUGCCACCCUUGUCUCCGCCGUGGCCAUCCUCCUCUUCAUCUGUUCCACAACGUCCAUGGCUUAAACAAGGUUGCACGUGCAGGUACAACUCAUGGACGCCAAGGAGAAUGAUGCCUUAGACUAGUCUGAGAAGCCAUCGCUGCCCUUGGAUGUUCCUGCCGACAAAGACGGGCACAUGGUGACACAAGAUUGGGCUACUCAGCCAACGGUAAGUGGCGGUGUACUUCAUCACAGCCUUCCGUUUUCGAAAACAUCAGUCAAUCCUUCGUUAAGUGAGCAUAAUGGACAUCAAUGACCCAACCAUGCCCAUAAUGGCCAUACAGUACAACAAGGCAUCCUCGUUGGUCUAUGUUGCAAAUGGGCUGCAGCACUUUCCAUGCUUUCAAGCCGAAGGACUUCACUCCGAGGGCAUACUCUACAAGCAAUACAAAUUCAGAGAGACACGAUGAAAUCAAGUCAAAAUCAACCGAUUGUCUUAGACCCUUUUGCACAUGGACAUUUGAGAGCACUCUACUCUUUAGUCUGUUGGAACAAAGUUAUGAUGUUUCCGUUUCACACAAGAAAUCAAUUGCAAGAAGAUCAUGACAGCAGCUUGUCAUGUAAGGCGUUUCAAGCCAAAGGAAGGAUUCACUCCAAGAUCAUGUUGUGCAAGCAGCACAAAUUCAGAGAGCCUCAAGGAAAUCAAGGCAAAAAUGUACUGGCCAUACAAACCUCUGUUCCUCUCUCACGUAAUUGCAUAGUUGAUUGUGCGUCACAGCAUCAACCCUUGCACCUUCUAUUGCUGACAUAUACUUGUGAGUGCAAGACUUGUCAAUGAGCACCUGGCAGCUGUUCUCUCCCUGGCAGUGAGUUCAGUCUGCUGCAACCACCUCUCCUUCGACGGUGGAUCAGCAACGAAGGAUUCUAUUGAGCCCUCAGCCGAGACAGAACAAGUUUUUGAGGCGCUCACUACCAAUCGUCGAAGACAUGUCAAAGCCCUUGCGUUGGUCGGUUUCUCUAAGCACUGGAGCUGGGCGUUUUGCCCCUUUUUUGGGUAGUGUAAUGUGGUGGGAGUUAUUUUAACCUGUUAGUGAGGGAAUCAUCUUCUGGUAAAGAUGAUCAUAUAUGUACAAACCUGUAGUGUUUGGUUUGGUUGUAGAUGAUACUUAUUUGUAUAUGGAUUAGGUGCCUUUGAUUUGAUUCAACACGGGCUAGUGAUGAUUUAUAUGUACCAAAUCUCUUUCAUUUUGA